GGAGUGACACCCAUGCCUUCGACGUCGACUUCAUUCCUUGAAACAGUUCAUGUGGACUGCAUGUAAUUCUGAAGCAUCAAUAAUUGAUGUCCAGCGUACAAAGUUGAUGAGUGCGAAAAAGUAGAGUUAAAAUGCAGUGGUUGAGAAACCAAGCUUAAUCUUUUUCAUGACAUUUACUCCCUUUUCCAUUGAAGUUUUUCUUCUUCUUUGCCACCAUUUCUUUGAUUUUGGGAUGUGAUGAGGUGGGAAUUUUUUGGAUCCAUAUAGUGGAAGGUGCCGCAUGAAGUGUACUCCACGGACUGUAAGGCUAUCAUCUCUAUGUCGGAGAUUGGGAGCUUGGAGGAGUUGAAGCCGUUGUGCUGGAGAAAGCUCGGAAAUGGCAAUGUGAGUUGAUGUGGGAUUUCAAAGGAAAAUCAAGUAUUUUUGCUGUUUAGUUCAGAGGCGUUUCUGAUGUUUAUAUAAUCUAAAUGGU